rnacentral:rRNA from 1 species
UACGAAGGGGGCUAGCGUUGUUCGGAAUUACUGGGCGUAAAGCGCACGUAGGCGGAUUCUUAAGUCUGGGGUGAAAGCCCGGAGCUCAACUCCGGAACUGCCUUGGAUACUGGGAGUCUCGAGGAUGGAAGAGGUCAGUGGAAUGCCGAGUGUAGAGGUGAAAUUCGUAGAGAUUCGGCGGAACACCAGUGGCGAAGGCGACUGGCUGGUCCAUUGCUGACGAUGAGGUGCGAAAGCGUGGGGAGCAAACAGG